rnacentral:rRNA from 1 species
CAUGGCUCAGAUUGAACGCUGGCGGCAGGCCUAACACAUGCAAGUCGAACGGUAGCACAGAGAGCUUGCUCUCGGGUGACGAGUGGCGGACGGGUGAGUAAUGUCUGGGAAACUGCCUGAUGGAGGGGGAUAACUACUGGAAACGGUAGCUAAUACCGCAUAACGUCUUCGGACCAAAGUGGGGGACCUUCGGGCCUCACACCAUCGGAUGUGCCCAGAUGGGAUUAGCUAGUAGGUGGGGUAAUGGCUCACCUAGGCGACGAUCCCUAGCUGGUCUGAGAGGAUGACCAGCCACACUGGAACUGAGACACGGUCCAGACUCCUACGGGAGGCAGCAGUGGGGAAUAUUGCACAAUGGGCGCAAGCCUGAUGCAGCCAUGCCGCGUGUAUGAAGAAGGCCUUCGGGUUGUAAAGUACUUUCAGCGGGGAGGAAGGCGACAAGGUUAAUAACCCUGUCGAUUGACGUUACCCGCAGAAGAAGCACCGGCUAACUCCGUGCCAGCAGCCGCGGUAAUACGGAGGGUGCAAGCGUUAAUCGGAAUUACUGGGCGUAAAGCGCACGCAGGCGGUCUGUCAAGUCAGAUGUGAAAUCCCCGGGCUUAACCUGGGAACUGCAUUUGAAACUGGCAGGCUAGAGUCUUGUAGAGGGGGGUAGAAUUCCAGGUGUAGCGGUGAAAUGCGUAGAGAUCUGGAGGAAUACCGGUGGCGAAGGCGGCCCCCUGGACAAAGACUGACGCUCAGGUGCGAAAGCGUGGGGA